rnacentral:rRNA from 1 species
CACGUAGGGGGCAAGCGUUGUCCGGAUUUAUUGGGCGUAAAGAGCUCGUAGGUGGUUCGGUAAGUCAGGUGUGAAACCUCCAGGCUCAACCUGGAGACGCCACUUGAUACUGCUGUGACUGGAGUCCGGUAGGGGAGCGUGGAAUUCCUGGUGUAGCGGUGAAAUGCGCAGAUAUCAGGAGGAACACCCGUAGCGAAGGCGGCACUCUGGGCCGAUACUGACACUGAGGAGCGAAAGCGUGGGGAGCGAACAGG